UACGGGGGGGGCAAGCGUUGUUCGGAAUUACUGGGCGUAAAGGGUUCGUAGGUGGCCGACUAAGUCAGACGUGAAGUCCCUCAGCUUAACUGGGGAACUGCGUCUGAUACUGAUUGGCUUGAGGACAGGAGAGGAACGCGGAAUUCCAGGUGUAGCGGUGAAAUGCGUAGAUAUCUGGAGGAACACCGGCGGCGAAGGCGGCGUUCUGGACUGUUUCUGACACUGAGGAACGAAAGCCAGGGGAGCAAACGGG
rnacentral:rRNA from 1 species